rnacentral:misc_RNA from 1 species
CCAGGAAAGCUGCCCAUUCUCAUGGGCAAAAUCUCCAGAGAAUUUGUUUAGACAGGAGACAUAUUUGGCUCUGGCAACUGCGUUUGUGUUUUUGAGAUUGAUUUACAUAUUUUUCCCUACUCUGCUUGUAUUUGUUCAAUUUGCUUGGAGAGGGCAUAUUCGGAACUUGAGAUUGGGGAGCUUCUUGGAGCAUCCUCGGGCCUAUCUGAAUGGAAUAAUACAAGUAUUCAAUUCUCUGAAGGAGCCUUGCAGGAAAACUAAUUUACAAGAAGGAGCGAUGAAUGCCAGGGCAUGGGCGUCCAAGUCCCUUGUUACGGUGUCAAUAGGGGAUGCAAGCACCAGCAGAGGUCCACCAAUUAGUGAAUGCCGCUGAGUUUUUCUCUGAUUGUGCGAAGGGUAAAAUUUGACAUCCCUGGUUAUAGUUUAAUGUUUGUGACAAUGUGAAAUAUGUUGACAUUGUUGUAUCCAUUUCUCAUUUGUCCAUAUGAUUUAGUACACAGUUUAUUUUGCCAUUUAAGAAGNNNNNNNNGUGUAUAUAUAAUAUUGAUAGACAUUGUGUCCAAACCCAUCUAUUUUAUCCAACAUAAAUGAAU